rnacentral:tRNA from 1 species
GGGCCUAUAGCUCAGUUGGUUAGAGCACACGCCUGAUAAGCGUGAGGUCGAUGGUUCGAGUCCAUUUAGGCCC